UACGGAGGGUGCAAGCGUUAUCCGGAUUCACUGGGUUUAAAGGGUGCGUAGGCGGCUAUAUAAGUCAGUGGUGAAAGCCUGCAGCUUAACUGUAGAAUUGCCAUUGAAACUGAUUGUCUCGAGUGCGGUUGAGGUCACUGGAAUGUAUCAUGUAGCGGUGAAAUGCUUAGAUAUGAUACAGAACACCAAUUGCGAAGGCAGGUGACUAAGCCGUAACUGACGCUGAUGCACGAAAGCGUGGGGAUCAAACAGG
rnacentral:rRNA from 1 species